ensembl:lncRNA
CUGAAAGAAGAGCAAGGUCCCUGAAGCGCUGCGGAAACUCAUCGCCUGACACAAUGGACCCCUGCAUGGAUAACUAUGAACACAGUGGCCUUGGAUGGAGCAGAACGCAAGAGGACCCGCUCUACACUGGGAAGAGCGCCAGGGGAGGAGGCUGAGCCCAGAGAAACCCACGCGAUAUGGUCUGGCUCAAUCAGGGAUUGGAGGAGAUGCUGUGUUAAAGAUGAUAGGUGGAAACGGGUGAGGGAUUGAAGAGAACGAUAUAAUGGAUGGGGAGAGGGCGAAGCAAGGAAGGAAGGAUACGGAGUCAGGAAGAGGACCAAGAAAAACGGAAUGAAGGAUGGAGAACAAGGAGGAGGCUGCGAUGAAGGACACUGCAGAGGAAUAGGAAAAUGCUGAGAUAGAGGCUACACUUGACACGGGGAGAAUGAAGAGGGUUAAUUGUAGCCCUUUGAAAUAACUCAAGUGAUUCCCUAUCAUCUGGCUGUUACUCGUCUGAGGAUGGACAGGGCAGUUCAAUCAGACGAUAGCCAUGAGUAACUCCUACUUUUCUCUGUGAGAAUGAGAUGAAGAUGAAGAAAAAGAAGAAGAAGAAGCAGAUUAGGAAAGAGGGACACAGCGAUAUAAAUGGAGGUGGUUGGUGGAGUUUUGCUGCUACACUACGUAUUUAAUUCAUAGACCGGAAGAACAUGGAAGCCUCCAUGAAGCUUACCCGUCCAAUCUAGCCAGCUGGUGACUAGGAUGCUACCUGUACGUGCCACUGCUGUCAGCUGUCCGGGACCUGCCUGCAGCGCUGGGCCAUUGAUUAGCUGGCUGCUGGGAGAGCCAUUGCGGGGUGACUUCAUGCUAGCUGGCUGCUAAAACCCGGCCCUCCGUCAUCGUCCCCUGCUUAAACACUUGUAUUCCAUCUCCGAGCUCCUCCAACUACGCUCUUCACCAUGCACUCCUCCCGGACACAUUAUAUCCAACACAAUCAAAGAACUCGGACUCCAUCGUCUGCCAUGAUAUGUCCACAGAGGCAGCCGGAGGACGUUUGUUUACUCCGGCUCAGAAGAUUCCAUUUCCUCAGUGUGGGCCAAUCGGCACCCGCCAAAGACACGACGUCAUCAACAUUACAACCAAUCCGUGCGCACUGUUUAUCUCACUCCGCUACCCAGAGCUCCUCAACCCGUCACCAACAAAAACUCAUCUCAUCUGAAAUGUGCACUUCUCAACACCCGUUCACUUGACAAAAAAGAGGACUUCUCCUCAGUGAAUUUAUUUCUAAUUCAGCACUGGAUUUUCUCUGUCUCACUGAAACCUGGCAAAACCCAUGCACUAUUUUUCACUCAAUCAAGCCACGCCCCCUGGAUACUCUUACAUUGACAAACCUCGUCUGGAUGGUCGUUCUGGCGGUCGAAUUGCCAUCAUCCAUCGACAUGACAUCAAAACCAGUGCAACAUCCAUCCCAACCCCUUCUUCAUUUGAAUCCCUUUCUUUUAAACUAUCUGGUCCCAAGCCCCUGGUCAUUGCAGUCAUUUACCGUCCCCCUAAGCCCGACCCUGCGUUUCCCUCUGAUCUAUCUGCAUUCCUUACCCAGCUCUGUGCUAUAUCUCCAUCCGUUCUCCUCCUGGGUGAUUUCAACAUUCAUGUGGACUCCUCUGUCUGCCAACCCGCAAUCGAACUUCUGGAAAUCCUCUCAUUCUUCAACAUCACCCAUCACAUCGAUUUUCCAACUCAUAACAAAGGUCACACCCUGGAUCUGGUCUGUUCCACUGGCAUCACAAUCAGUCACCUGGCCAGUAACAACCUCCACAUCUCCGACCAUCUGGCCAUUACUUUUUAAACUCACACUCCCUCCCCCCAUGAGAAGCAAAACAAAAACGCACCAUCACUUUCCGCAACCUCAAAUCCAUCAACCCAUCCUCUCUUUCCACAUGUCUUUCUGAGUCCAUUGCUAAACUCACCAUCACCCACAACAACUCCCCCAACAACCUGGUUAACUGCUAUAACUCAUCCCUCUCAUCCUGCCUUGACCAGCUUGCACCUGUUCAGUCUGAAUUGGUCUCAUUCUCCCACUCUGCCCCAUGGUACACUGACGAACUCCGCCAUCUCAAAUCCAAACGACGCCAACUGGAACGGCUUGCCCACAAAACAGGUCUUACCGUCCAACAGGAAAUUUACAAACAACACCUCCAGCUAUACAACGACUCCCUGAACUCAGCCUGCUCCUCCUACUACUCAGGAAUCAUCCAGUCUGGCAGCAGCAAUCCAAGGACCCUCUUCAACAACAUUAACACACUCCUCAAGCCAUUGGACACCAUCUCUCACUCCUUCUCAGUUGAAAAAUGCAAUAACUUCCUAUCCUUCUUCAAUGAUAAAAUCAGCACAAUCCACAGCCAGUUGACCAUCGACCCCGCCCUACGUCCUAAACCGGAUCCCCCCCUAACCACCUUCAAUCCUUCUCCACAUUUGCUACCAUCACCUCCUCUGAUCUUUCCUCCAUAGCCUCAACCAUGAAAUCAACAACCUGCAACCUGGACCCGCUCCCCACCACACUUCUAAAGGCCUGUCUCCCCACUCUCUCCACCCUCAUCACUAACACUGUAAACUCCUCUCUAUCCUCCGGCCAUGUCCCCUCCUCCCUAAAGCUUCCCUUAAAGUCACCCCCGUACUAAAGAAACCUGGCCUGGAUCCUGAUUCCCCUAACAACUACCGCCCCAUCUCCAAUCUACCUUUUCUGUCUAAAAUCCUGGAACGAGUUGUUGCCAAACAACUCAUCACCUACCUUGACACCAACGACCUCUUUGAACUCUUCCAAUCUGGUUUCUGCUCCAAACAAAGUACAGAAACUGCCCUCCUCAAAGUGACCAAUGACCUUCUGCUAUCCUCUGACACUGGCUCCCUCAAUAUCCUCAUACUCUUUGACCUCAGUGCUGCCUUUGACACGAUCAAUCACUCCCUUCUCCUCCCCGUCUCCAAUCCACCCUUGGCAUCACUGGCACCGCCCUCUCCUGGCUCGGAUCCUAUCUCUCAGACAGGCAUCAAUUCAUCGCCAUCAAAAACUGUCAAUCAGACACUACUCCUCUCAUCCACGGUGUCCCCCAGAGUUCUGUGCUUGGUCCACUCCUCUUCAUUCUGUACAUGCUUCUACUUGGUCAGAUCCUCCGUCACCAUGGACUCCGGUUCCACUGUUAUGCCGAUGACCCACAGCUUUACCUCCCUUCCAAAACCAUCAGUCCUUCCACCCUCUCAACCCUCUCCAACUGUUUGAAUGACAUCAAGACCUGGAUGCAAAACAGCUUUCUCAAACUCAACUCCAACAAAUCCUAAAUCCUCAUCAUUGGUCCUGACACCCUCACUCACUCCACUCAGAACUUCACCCUUAACAUUGACGGCUCCACCAUCACCCCCUCCACCAAAAUCCGUAACCUUGGAGUUAUCCUGGACCCCACUCUCUCCUUCCUCCCCCAUGUUAACCAUAUUACCAAAACUGCCUUUUUCCACCUCCGAAACAACGCCCACCUCCGCCCAAACCUGUCAACUACUGCUGCUGUGACACUCAUCCACGCUUUCAUUUCAUCCAGGCUUGACUACUGUAAUGGUCUUCUCUACGGCACCACCAACAAAGUCCUCAAUAAACUUCAAUAUGUCCAGAACUCAGCUGCAUGCCUCCUCACUGGUACCCGCUCCAGAGAACACAUCACACCUGUCCUCCGUGAACUCCAUUGGCUUCAAAUUAAACACAAAUCAACUUCAAAAUCGUACUCAUCACCUACAAGGCCCUCAACAGCCUAGCCGCCCCCUACCUUGCCGACCUCCUCCAUCACCACGCCCCCUCCCGAUUCCUCAGGUCCAUCUCUGCCAACCUGCUACAAGUUCCACGGAGUGAGCGCCGGACUUGGGGUGAUCAGGCCUUCUCAGUUGCUGCCCCCACCCUUUGGAAUUCACUCCCCUCCCACAUCAAAGUCUCUCCUACCCUCUCUUCUUUCAAAUCUGCGCUCAAAACAUACCUUUUUACACUAGCCUUCCCCACCUAACUCCCACCUUAUAAUUCAUUUUUAACCUCUGUUUUUCUUUCAAUCCUAGUCUGUCUUAUAUAUGUCUGUUACAUCGUUUUGAUAGGCCAAUAUGUAAAGCGUUGUAGAGUACCAUAUUGAGCGCUAUGUAAAUUUUGUUUAUUAUAUUAUUAUUAUUAAAGUCAAAAGUAUACACAAAUCCUUUCCAAACUCAAUUUUCUGUGUAUUUCUAUGUGUAACUGCCACACAUGGGCAGUUUGUUUAAUUUGUUAACCUCCAGUUUUUUGUUCCUACUGUUUAUGAUGGCAUUGGGGCGGAACUAAUUGCCGCCAGCAUAUGUCACCUACACACCACACCUUUUAGCGACGUACCUUGCCAAACAGCGUGAAAGCAGCAGCACCCUUUUAGAAGUUAAAGUUAAAGGCUAAGGCACUUAAAGAAGAAAAACUUUAAAGGACAAGGAAGAAGCAUACAAGAAAAUUCAUUAAGUAGUUAGCAGUGGACGAGGUAUGUUUAUCUUUUAUUUAUGUCUAUGAAGAACGUGGACGAUUGUAUUGUGUUGCAUUCGAAAGCAUGGUUGGUGCGUGAUGGUUAUCAAGUCGUGAACAUGUAUAUGUUAGUUAAGUUUGUAAAUGUACAAUUUAAUAUUUAGUUGCGGACUGUAUGUGAGGUGUGUUUAGGUUUUUUGGGUGCAAAUGUAACACCUGUUGUGCUGCUGAAAAACCGGACAUUUUGCAUAUUGUCAAUUGUAUUUAUUUAUUUGAACUAUUUUUCUCUUUUAAACCCAG